CCUAAAAACCUAUUAUUUUUACCCUAUGAUAAAAUCGAAUAAAUGUUAGUAAAAGGUAUUUGUGUCUGAUAGCUAAAACAAAAAAUGGCAAGAUUGUAAAUUAAACAAAACUUAAGCCGAUUUUUCUAUUAUAUGUCUAUUCUAUAACACCAUAGAUCUAGAUCUAAAUAAAAACUAUUUCAAACAACAAAAACCUUCUCAUCUUCUUCAACCAUUUGGAUGAACACCAACACCUCAAACGUCGUCGAUGGCAGCCAUCCACCGCCACACCGCCAGCGACGGCCCAUCCACCGCCACAUCUCAUCCUCCGCCUCGACCUCUGGUUACCGCAACAAUUUGCCACCGUCGUAACUUCUCUGACGAUUGAACACCUUUAGCAAACAAACAACAACUCCAAUGAUGCACCACCUCCAACUAUUGUAUCCGAUGAUCUAAUUUUUGAGGGAUGUUGGCAGUGUGGUUGGUGGUAGCAAUGGUUGAGUAUGGAUAUGUUGCAUUUAUCACUCAUCUUCUUUGAUGAUUUCAGAUAAGUUAUCAUCUUUUAUGAUUCAUGUAUAUGUUAUUCCUUGGAUGUUUGCUUUUGAAAUAUGACAUAAUUUCUGUAUGUAUUAAAUUGUGAAUGAUAUAUUAGAUUAUACUUGUAAAUGAGCUUUGAAUGUAUUGUAUUAAACUAUGUUUUUUUUUUGUAUUAAUCUAUGAAUUUUAUUGA